GAGUUUGAUCAUGGCUCAGGAUGAACGCUGGCGGCGUGCUUAACACAUGCAAGUCGAACGGACUCAUAUUGAAACCUAGUGAUGUAUGAGUUAGUGGCGGACGGGUGAGUAACGCGUGGAGAACCUGCCGUAUACUGGGGGAUAACACUUAGAAAUAGGCGCUAAUACCGCAUAAGCGCACGAAGCCGCAUGGAUUUGUGUGAAAAACUCCGGUGGUGUAAGAUGGACCCGCGUCUGAUUAGCUUGUUGGCGGGGUAACGGCCCACCAAGGCGACGAUCAGUAGCCGGCCUGAGAGGGUGGACGGCCACAUUGGGACUGAGACACGGCCCAAACUCCUACGGGAGGCAGCAGUGGGGGAUAUUGGACAAUGGGGGGAACCCUGAUCCAGCGACGCCGCGUGAGUGAAGAAGUAUUUCGGAUGUAAAGCUCUGUCAGCAGGGAAGAAAGAAAUGACGGUACCUGACCAAGAAGCCCCGGCUAACUACGUGCCAGCAGCCG
rnacentral:rRNA from 1 species